UGGUGGAGUGAUCUGUCUGGUUAAUUCUGUUAACGAACGAGACCUUGACAUGCUAACUAGCGCCGCACUGCUGCUGUUGUUUGGCAGACUUCUUAGCGGAACUUUGUGUGCCCAGCAUGAGGACGUGUAAGGCAAUAGCA
rnacentral:rRNA from 1 species